UUUGUCACUAUGCUCUAGUGUCAGAUCAGAUUGACAGUGAUUUAAAGAGAGAGAGACAGAGAGAGAAGGGUAUUUUCAUGCUCUGUCUUAAAGAGCCCAAACCCCUACAUUCCAAGUAGAGUGUCUAACGAAUCCAACCUGCCGAGAGAGAAGAAGUCACGGUCCUCCAGGAUCCUCUAUCAGGACCAGUCAGUCUCACUCUGCCCCUGGCCUACUCAGCACAGCCCUAGAUAUGGACAGCACAACAGGAUUCGCCCUGACCCCUGUCAAUCACAACCACACCAACAGCAGCUGUUCCCGUGAUAACGUGCUGAAGACUGUGGUGUUUCCUGUUCUCUACUCCCUCCUCUUCCUGUUGGGCCUGUCCCUCAACGGCCUGGCAGUGUGGGUGUUCUUCAGCAUCCCGAGCCGCUCCCACUUCAUCAUCUACCUCAAGAACAUUGUGGUGGCCGACGUCCUCAUGACCCUCACCUUCCCCUUCAAGGUGCUGUCUGACUCCAACAUGGCGUCCGUGGGUCUGCGUGUCUUCGUCUGUCGUGUCUCCUCUGUGCUCUUCUAUCUCACCAUGUACAUCAGCAUCCUCUUCUUCGGCCUCAUCAGCAUCGACCGCUGCAGGAAGACCCUCCAGCCCUUCAAGGGGACCAACGCGGCCCGUCUGUCCCACAGGAAACUGCUCUCCUUGGUUAUCUGGUGCUCCCUGCUGGCCCUCUCCCUGCCCAACAUGGUCCUGACCAGCCGCAGCCCCACCUCGGUCUACUUCAAGUGCAGUGAUCUGAAGACGGCGGCUGGGCUGCAUUGGCAUGAGGUGGUCAACCAUGUGUGCCAGGUCAUCUUCUGGGGCAACCUGGUGACGGUGAUAGUGUGUUAUGCCCUCAUCACCAAAGAGCUGUACAGUUCCUACGCCCGCGCCAACGCUUUCCGUGCUGGUGGAGCAAGCAGAGCUGGUACUGGUAACGGGCAGCGCCAGCCCCGGAGAAAGACUGUGAGUUCAAACGUCUUCCUGGUGCUGGCCGUGUUCUUUGUGUGCUUCGUGCCGUUCCACUUCUCCCGUGUGCCGUACACCAUGAGCCAGACCCGGGGACGUAUGUUUGACUGCAACCUCAAACUGUUCUUCUUCCAGUUAAAGGAGAGUACACUCUGGCUGUCCUCCCUCAACUCCCUCCUGGACCCUCUCAUCUACUUCUUCCUCUGUAAGUCCUUCAGGACCACCCUGUUCAAGACGCUCCGUCUCCCACCUGGGACCUGUAGCUGGCUCACUGGGAUAGGGCCGGACCCCAACACGGGCAGUACCCCUCUGGGAGACUCCUCUGCUUGUCUGUAGCGAACUAAAGCUCUCUUCUGGAGGACCUCCAUGUAUGGUGGUCUGAUGAAUGUUUCACAGAGGAUCAUACUGCCCUCUACUGGAAAGCUGACGGGAACUGAACUGUGUGUCGAUUGUAACUCUGUCUGGGCAAUGGAAAGAGUAGAGUAGGAAACUCUGCACAGACCAGUGAUAAUUACAAUAAUAUGCAAACUAGUCUGUAUCGCCAGUCUGUAAUACCAGUCUGUAACAGUUUGUAGAAUGUCAUAACCUCCUCUAAACAUCACCAUAACCUCAUGCCAAAGGAAAUCUCCUAAGGAAGUCACCUUGUCUCUCUCAUAACAGCUUAGUUCCCCAUACUGGCAUUCUGCUUUGACCUCAUUCUUUUUUAGGCUUUAGGAACUAAAAUAAGAGACAUGUAAUUAUGUGUAACCAUGGCACAGCACGUGUGCCUAUAAUGUACAGCAAAACAUUCUAUACUACAUAAACUUGUGAAAUCUAAAUAUUUUUUCUCUCCCAUUCGUUGAUCCAUGUCUUUAACCAUUCUUCAACAAAACACUAUGAUACCGAGGGGGGAAAAUACCCUGAUUUAUCUGAUGCAUUGAAAGCCAGAUGUUCUGUAUGUUUAGACAGAUAGUGUACAACCUAUUAACAGUUGGCCUAAGGGCAGGUGGGAGGCUGCUYCCGGCUGCAGUACAGUGACCACAGAGGAACCAAKAAAAAAAAAAUGUGAGUGGCCAGAGGCUUUCCGGGGAAGCAGCAAGAUGUGAAACGACACCAGUAAAAACCACACUUCUAAAGACAGUUGAAAGUUAAUGUGAAAACAAUAGUUCAUGUGAAAGAAAUGAUGUGUGUGCAUAGUGUAGGAGUGUGAGAGAGAGAAACAUGGGAUCAACACAUGUCUGAUCUUUUAAAUAAUAAUUAGUUCCAGGAUAAAAAAUGUUUUUAAACACCAACCUCCCUGUGAAAAUAUGACCAAACAUACAUAACCUCCCUAACCUGCCGAAUGCAGGUCACUGGUGGGAGAAAUACUAUUUGCAUGUGCAGAUGCUAUCAGCAGCAGUAGUUCACCAUUCGUGACAACACCAAUUCUCCCAUCAUAUGMCUCAGUUGGUAGAACAUGGCUCUUGCAACACCAGAAUUGUGAGUUUGAUUCCUGGGCCACCCAUACAUAAAAUAUAUGCAUGCAUGACUGUCAGUCACUUUGGAUAAAAGCAUCUGUUAAAUUGCAUGAUAUUGUUAUAUUAUAAGAAGUUUGACAAACAAGGGCAGCUUUUUUUUCAGUUGUGGUCAAAAGCCAAAGAUAUUGAUAACUAACCCUGUACGUUAGCUCCUAUCUUACCACUUCCCCGUCUUCAGGAAGUGUAUUAGGUGACGUAGCAACCCGAUACAUCGCAGUAACGUACUCACACGUAAGCAUAGACGUAGCAACCCGAUACAUCGCAGUAACACACGUAAAGCAUCGACAUCGUAGUGACUUUCCUCCAUGAUAAGAUGUUUUCUCACAACUUCACCGAUUCCUCAAAACUAGUAGCCACAAUGGCAUCACGUUCCCCUCCACUGGACUGUGGCUUUAAUGAAGAUACCAUAAAUAUGGCUAUAUCAAGUCUCUACUUCCUGUUGUUCAUCCCUGCCCUCAUCAUCAAUGGGGUAGCAGUCUGGGUCUGCAUGCAACUUCGGUCAACGUCUACCUUCAUGGUGUAUCUGAAGAACCUUCUGGCUGCUGACCUUCUCAUGACCCUGACCAUCCCUGUCAAAGCAGCCAAUAUCCUGCCCAGCGCUCCACUGACUCUGAAGGCCUUUGCCUGUCGCUACUCUGAUGUUAUUUUCUACCUCUGUAUGUACAUGAGCAUCAUUCUGUUGGGCCUCAUCAGUCUGGACCGCUUCUUCAAGAUCGUCAGGCCCUGUGGCAGGUUGUUGGGUCAGAACCUUGUCUUCGGCAAAGUGCUGUCAGCUUCCAUCUGGGGGGUGCUGUUGGCCACUAAUGUCAUUCCAGCCAUGAUCCUGACCAAUCAGGAUCCCACAAACAAGACUAAACAAUUCUGUAUGGCAAUGAAGAGCAACGUAGGACAAGAUUUUCACAGUGGCGUGGUCAAAUUAAACAACGUAAUCUUCUGGGUGGUGUGUGUUCUUAUUUGUUUCUGCUACAUAUGCAUAGCAAGGAAGGUUUUUCAAUCAUACAGGAAAUCAGGAAGCAGCAAUGAUGAAGGGAGGCAUAAGACCAAAGUGCGUGUGUUUUUGGUUCUGGUGGUUUUCCUGAUGUGUUUCGGCCCCUACCACUCCAUACGGAUCUCCUACACCUCGCUUCAGGUUACCUCAAGAACCAGCUGCACUAAGGUUGCCUUACGGAUCUCUAAGAAGAUUUCCUUGUGGAUGUCAGCCAUGAACGUCUGUCUGGACCCUCUCAUCUACUUCUUCCUGUGUAAGUCCUUCAGGAUCAGCCUGUUCAAGAUGCUCCGUCUCUCACCUGGGACCUGUAGCUGGCUCGCUGGGAGAGGACCCAACAUAAUAGAGAAUCAGACCCCAACACAGGAGGGAGACUCCUGUGACAGUACAGAAAAUUAAAACUCUUUGGAAUGAUCUACUUUAUGUUGUGAGAAGUUGUGUUUGACAGAGUAUCAUACUCCCUGGUGUAGGGUUAACUAUCCAACUAGUUAUACUAGAAAUAAAUCCACCAGGUGUAAUGUACUAUCCAACUAGUUAUACUAGAAAUGAAUCCACCAUGUGUAAUGUACUAUCCAACUAGUUAUACUAGAAAUGAAUCCACCAGGUGUAAUGUACUAUCCAACUAGUUAUACUAGAAAUGAAUCCACAAGGUGUAAUGUACUAUCCAACUAUUUAUAUUAGAAAUGUUACGUUACCGCCUUAUUCUAAAACGGAAUAACUAAAUUCUUCCCUCAUAAAUCUACACACAAUACCCAAUAAUGGAGGGCAGUACAGGCCCCAUUUAACAUCGACAUGCUUGUAGUGGAGCGAGAUCCUUGGUGUCCACAUCACCAACAAACUGUCAUGGUCCAAACACACCAAGACAGUCGUGAAUAUGGCAC